AACGAACGCUGGCGGCAUGCCUAACACAUGCAAGUCGAACGAGACCUUCGGGUCUAGUGGCGCACGGGUGCGUAACGCGUGGGAACCUGCCCUUAGGUUCGGAAUAACUCCCCGAAAGGGGUGCUAAUACCGGAUAAUGUCUUCGGACCAAAGAUUUAUCGCCUUUGGAUGGGCCCGCGUUGGAUUAGCCAGUUGGUAGGGUAAAAGCCUACCAAGGCGACGAUCCAUAGCUGGUCUGAGAGGAUGAUCAGCCACACUGGGACUGAGACACGGCCCAGACUCCUACGGGAGGCAGCAGUGGGGAAUAUUGGACGAUGAGCGAAAGCCUGAUCCAGCAGUGCCGCGUGAGUGAUGAAGGCCUUAGGGUUGUAAAGCUCUUUUACCCGGGAUGAUAAUGACAGUACCGGGAGAAUAAGCUCCGGCUAACUCCGUG
rnacentral:rRNA from 1 species